AAUACUGUUCCGUGUGAAGGAAAGAGUACUUCUGUCAGUUACCCGUUGCUAAGCACCGAAUUCCGAACGUAUGCUGUUGGGUAGCAACCUUACCUGCUGAUGGUGUACAGUAGAUGCACUGCACAGAAGGUGUUUCCAGGCAGCUCGGCCCAAGCAGUCAACAUUGCAUUUUAUUGAACAUUCCCUGAAUCAAAAGAGCAACUGGAUGACAAACCCUUCAAGAGAUACGUUGCGAACCCGGUGACCUUCUGGAUCUCAGAUAUGAAGCUCAAACUCCUGUUCCUGGCAGAACAGGAACUUAAGUUGGCUCGCUACAGCAGCUGGAGAUGAAUAAGAGAGGAACCCUGCUCAUGACAGGGGUUCUCCAAGCCAGAUGUGAAUCCAGGCAAAAGUCCACCCUCCUCUCCUCCUCCCUGCACUUCAUAGGAAUGAAGUGAGAUGCUAUGUGCUCCCUCCUGGUCUUCUUCCCUCGCAUUGGCCUUCCCUUCUGAGACAAGGCUAUGAACAUUUCUUUGCCAUUUUUAGUCCA